ensembl:lncRNA
GAGUCACGUGACCAAACCACGCCUCGGCACAGUGGCUCGAUACGUUUGCUUCAUGAGCUACAGCGCAUGUGUCGAAGCCUCGGGUAUCAGAGGACCAUCACUACUCACAAGACCGGGGUCAACCACGGCUACCAACAUGAAGGACGGCGCUUCAGUCCUAUGGAGGCGGCAGCAGAGACUCUGCUCUCCUCGUUUGGAUUAAUUCCAGGGGUGUAAGUAGUUUUAAAUUCUUGCCAGUACUAUUAGCAAAACCCUCACCUCGCUCUUAACAUCGUGGCAUGGAGCGCAUCCCAGUUUCCCAUGUUGGGCAUACAACCAUUCAUUUCUGCUUUUAAAUUGUUCACAUUUACCCUUUGUCCAAAUGGAAGGAUAAGCAGGAGGCGUAGCAUCAUCACCACCUGUGCUUUUUUCUGGGGAUCCUGCAACUGCUUCUUUCUCAUGACAUGGUGCCUCCUCACCCUGACGCUCAGCUUGCUCUACAUCUUCAUCACUGGAUGUUUUUCUGGAGUAACCCAUCUUCAGUGUCCUUGUCUUUUCUUUUAAACAAAGAGGUUAUUUCCUCUGCAUUAUUACUUCGACCAAAAAAAAAAUCCUGACAUUUUUGUAGUGCUUCUCUCUGUUUUUAUUGAAAAUAUCUGUCGAUGAUAACCAUUGUAAAUCCUGUUGAAAGUUUUUCAGCCAAUCACAAGAACGUGUGGAACUUCAGGUGUAAUUUAUUGCUCGCCCCGUCCCGGCGUAAGCGGCGCUUGUUGACGUCUAUUGAUUAGUUGUGGAAAAUGUCCCAGUGCAAUAAAUCAAGCGCAUCUAUUUGCUAUUGGCUGCUAUUGACCAUAACAAUCGCUGUUACGGAAGUACACACGCAUGCGCACUCACGUACUGCUGAGUGAACGUUCGGUAGCAGGCAGCCGGGCGGCGUACCGGUACAGCGUACCGCCAACAGAUAUUUUGCCGGUACGCAGUACCGGACCGUACCGUCUUACUGUCACCCCUGAUUAAUUCUGAUAUAAUAACUGUUGGUUUGUUUAUCGGUGGAGCAGCAGAACAUUUUCCACAGACAGUUUUCCUGCUCGUUGUCUUGUUUUAACUAGUUUUCUACGUUCGGCUGAUUCUACCAGCAGACACUGAAAGCACUCUAAUAGUUCGAGUGAAAGCAGCAGUUCCUCCUUAAGGUCAGAGAUUGCAGCAUCUGAGGGCCUCUUCAAAAGAAGACGUAGUUGAUGAAGGCGUUCUGGAGCAGGACCAGAAAGACCACGACCAAGCAGCCUUGAGAUCUUAGGCAGCGUCUCCCUCAGACUAAAGAACUACAGACUCUUCACAACCUGCUCAAACUCUUGGUACAGGACCUCACCACACG